UGUGGUUAUUAUAGCAAAGAGGAUACACCUGUUCCCAUUCCGAACACAGAAGUUAAGCUCUUUAGCGCUGAUGGUACUUGGUGGGAAGCUGCCUGGGAGAGUAGGACGUAGCCGCGU
rnacentral:rRNA from 2 species